UACGGAGGAUCCAAGCGUUAUCCGGAAUUACUGGGCGUAAAGAGUUGCGUAGGCGGCAAAGUAAGUAAGUAAUGAAAUCGUGUGGCUCAACCACAUAACCAUUGCUUAAACUGCUUAGCUUGAGAAUGGAAGAGGUUGCUAGAAUUCCUAGUGUAGGGGUGAAAUCCGUAGAUAUUAGGAGGAAUACCAAUGGCGUAGGCAGGCAACUGGUCCAUUUCUGACGCUCAGGCACGAAAGCGUGGGGAGCGAUCGGG
rnacentral:rRNA from 1 species